rnacentral:rRNA from 1 species
UACAGAGGUCUCGAGCGUUGUUCGGAUUCAUUGGGCGUAAAGGGUGCGUAGGUGGCGAGGUAAGUCGGAUGUGAAAUCCCGGGGCUCAACCCCGGAACUGCAUUCGAUACUGCCCUGCUAGAGUACUGGAGAGGAGAUUGGAAUUUACGGUGUAGCAGUGAAAUGCGUAGAUAUCGUAAGGAAGACCAGUGGCGAAGGCGGAUCUCUGGACAGUUACUGACACUGAGGCACGAAGGCCAGGGGAGCAAACGGG